UUGAACGCUGGCGGCAGGCCUAACACAUGCAAGUCGAGCGGAUGAAGGGAGCUUGCUCCUGGAUUCAGCGGCGGACGGGUGAGUAAUGCCUAGGAAUCUGCCUGGUAGUGGGGGAUAACGUCCGGAAACGGGCGCUAAUACCGCAUACGUCCUGAGGGAGAAAGUGGGGGAUCUUCGGACCUCACGCUAUCAGAUGAGCCUAGGUCGGAUUAGCUAGUUGGUGGGGUAAAGGCCUACCAAGGCGACGAUCCGUAACUGGUCUGAGAGGAUGAUCAGUCACACUGGAACUGCGACACGGUCCAGACUCCUACGGGAGGCAGCAGUGGGGAAUAUUGGACAAUGGGCGAAAGCCUGAUCCAGCCAUGCCGCGUGUGUGAAGAAGGUCUUCGGAUUGUAAAGCACUUUAAGUUGGGAGGAAGGGCAGUAAGUUAAUACCUUGCUGUUUUGACGUUACCAACAGAAUAAGCACCGGCUAACUUCGUG
rnacentral:rRNA from 1 species